rnacentral:lncRNA from 1 species
GCCAAACCAUGUAGAAGCAGCCAGAGUGAUAUUCCGGUGCUAAAACAGAACCGAAUUACAAACCACCUCCACAAAGCUUUCCACCCUCUACACCCAACAAUAUCCAAUAGUCACGUUGUGACUCAGAUAAAAAUUCACCCACCUACAUCUCUUCAAGCAGCUAUUUCCAUCGAAAACCCUCAAACCCACAUGGCAUGCAUCCUUCAUAAUACACUGGUUUCACAAAUCCUUCACUGCAAGCAUCUCCUAACACCGAACUUAUUAAUUGCGUAAGCACGCUGCAUUGUUACUACUCCACUGCACAUAUGAGAAGUUGAAUUCUAGGGUCAAUGAUAGAAGCCACGACCAGGAAUGAAAUUUAAUGUCCUCAAAUAAUGAACACCACAACAUAGAAUCAUUAUUAAAGAUCUAGCUAUUGCUUUUUUCCAUACACAAAAGAUGUUUGUGCACCAAAUGACUCCCUACAUCUGUUGCUCCACAUAAGACCUACCAAAACUCGAGAAAGACCAAAAAUGAAUGUCCAGUGAUCCAGGCAUUACAAUUGCAAAAUCUUGAGAGAUCCAUAGUUGACAAACAUUCCAAACCUUACUAACCACAUCACACUACAAUAAAAGGUUAAGCAAUGAUUCUAAUAGAAGGGGCCAAUUAAUUUCGGAUCCUCGCUGAUAAUAUUUCUUCUCAAAUUGUCUCCAGUGGGAAGUCUAUCCCGUA